AUGAACGCUAGCGACAGGCUUAACACAUGCAAGUCGAGGGGUUACAGGGUGUAGCAAUACACCGCUGACGACCGGCGCACGGGUGAGUAACGCGUAUGCAACCUGCCUUUGACAGAGGGAUAGCCCAUGGAAACGUGGAUUAAUACCUCAUAGUCUCUUUUUCCUUCCUGGGGAAUAGAGUAAAACGAGAGUGGUCAAAGAUGGGCAUGCGUCCUAUUAGGCAGUUGGCGGGGUAACGGCCCACCAAACCGAUGAUAGGUAGGGGUUCUGAGAGGAAGGUCCCCCACACUGGUACUGAGACACGGACCAGACUCCUACGGGAGGCAGCAGUGAGGAAUAUUGGUCAAUGGUCGAGAGACUGAACCAGCCAAGUCGCGUGAGGGAUGACUGCCCUAUGGGUUGUAAACCUCUUUUCUACUGGGAGAAUAAGCCCUAUGUAUAGGGUGAUGACAGUACAGUAGGAAUAAGCAUCGGCUAACUCCGUGCCAGCAGCCGCGGUAAUACGGAGGAUGCGAGCGUUAUCCGGAUUUAUUGGGUUUAAAGGGUGCGUAGGCGGCUUUAUAAGUUAGUGGUAAAAUUUCGGAGCUUCACUCCGGUCCGCCAUUAAAACUGUAGAGCUAGAGAAUGGACGAGGUAGGCGGAAUAAGUUAAGUAGCGGUGAAAUGCAUAGAUAUAACUUAGAACUCCGAUAGCGAAGGCAGCUUACCAGACCAUAACUGACGCUGAUGCACGAGAGCGUGGGUAGCGAACAGGAUUAGAUACCCUGGUAGUCCACGCCGUAAACGAUGCUCACCGGCCCUUAGCGAAUAGACAGUUAGGGGUUAAUUGAAAGAAUUAAGUGAGCCACCUGGGGAGUACGUCGGCAACGAUGAAAACUCAAAGGAAAUUUGACCGGGGCCCCCCCAAACCGGAGGAACAUGUGGUUUAAUUCGAGGAUACGCGAGGAACCCUUACCUGGGUUUAAAUGUAUGUUGCAUAAUCUGGAAACAGUUUUUCUUUUGGGAGCUAUAUACAAGGUGCUGCAUGGUUGUCGUCAGCUCGUGCCGUGAGGUGUCGGGUUAAGUCCCAUAACGAGCGCAACCCUUACCGUUAGUUGCUAGCAUGUAAUGAUGAGCACUCUAGCGGGACUGCCACCGUAGGGUGAGAGGAAGGGGGGGAUGACGUCAAAUCAGCACGGCCCUUACAUCCAGGGCGACACACGUGUUACAAUGGCCAUAACAGCGGGUAGCUACCGGGCGACCGGAUGCAAAUCUCGAAAAUUGGUCUAAGUUCGGAUUGGAGUCUGCAACCCGACUCCAUGAAGUUGGAUUCGCUAGUAAUCGAACAUCAGCCAUGGCGCGGUGAAUACGUUCCCGGGCCUUGUACACACCGCCCGUCAAGCCAUGGAAGCUGGGAGUAAAAGAAGUCCGUAACCGCGAGGAUCGGCCUAGGG
rnacentral:rRNA from 1 species